rnacentral:rRNA from 1 species
UGGGGAAUCUUCCGCAAUGGACGAAAGUCUGACGGAGCAACGCCGCGUGAGUGAAGACGGCCUUCGGGUUGUAAAGCUCUGUGAUCCGGGACGAAAGAGCCUGAGGUAAAUAGCCUAAGGAAGUGACGGUACCGGAAAAGCAAGCCACGGCUAACUACGUGCCAGCAGCCGCGGUAAUACGUAGGUGGCAAGCGUUGUCCGGAAUUAUUGGGCGUAAAGCGCGCGCAGGCGGCUUCCUAAGUCCAUCUUAAAAGUGCGGGGCUUAACCCCGUGAUGGGAUGGAGACUGGGAAGCUGGAGUAUCGGAGAGGAAAGUGGAAUUCCUAGUGUAGCGGUGAAAUGCGUAGAGAUUAGGAAGAACACCGGUGGCGAAGGCGACUUUCUGGACGAAAACUGACGCUGAGGCGCGAAAGCGUGGGGAGCAAACAGG